GACAGUUCCCAUCUAAAGAGAAUUUCAUUUCCAAACAUCUGGAGACUAUAUAUCUGUCAUGGGUUUGUUUUUUGAUUUUUAAUAUUCCACAUCAAAACAUCAUGUACUGGAAUUAAGGUGUUAAUGCUCUCAUUUCUACGCACCUAUCCCCAUACAUUACGGAAGUCAUGGGAUCUGACCCUUCCGGGGGGCGGUCUCUUACUGCCUGGCAGUGGGUGCUGGAGGGUGCUUUCCUGGCCGUUCCAAGCUUUUUUUCAGGUUUGACUCGGUCUCGGGAACUCUCUCUCAUAUCUUAUUUGAUUUAUUAGUCUCAAUUUUAAUUAGGUUGUAUUAUAUUGUAUUAUUUUGCAUUCCAAUAUCAUAGUUAGUAAAAUAAGUUUACCUCCAUAGAUUGUUGCCGCUGUUUUCUCUUCUUUUUCCCCCUUCCUCCCUCCGUGGGCCAGGCGGGGGGUGGGGAGGGCAGGGGCCUACUGCCCCCCUGUCACGGGCAUAAACUGAUCUAGUUAAUUCCGUGACAGUUUUUGGUGGAGAAUGCGGGCAUAGCUGUUUUUUUCUUUUUACUUUUUGGCUCUUAGAACGAAUCUUGCUCUCUGCUCUUAGAGAGCUUCGUUAGGGAGCAUUAUCAGUAGUUCAGGUUUUUGUGCUGGAAAACUUGACCUUGAAAGACCAGGCGUACUGCCAGUAUUCUGGGAUAUUUGUAAACUUUGAGCACUGCUUAGUCUGGGUAGUGCCUUUUUCCUUUCCCCCCCUCUUGUUAGUUUCAAUUCAUUAACCCUUUUUGAGCAGAAACCAGCGAUGAACCCACUCUUUUUCGUGGGAGCGCUGAGUAAGGGAUUAAACGCCAUGGUGUUACUCGCGACCUACUGGCCAAUCAUCAAUUUCAUAAUGACUUGUUUUGGAAUUGUGUCCAUAUGUAACCACAUAAGGGCACUGAUGGAGACGCCUUUAUGGUACCUAUAUUGGUACCUAUAUGCCAUGUGGUAUGAUGUGAGUUUCGAUACUUACAUCCCGGAUGGAAUGGCUAAUUUUACAAGCAACUACAUCCCAAAUGGAAUUGCUAAUUUUACAAACCACACGAUGUUCAAACCAGUUUCCCGGUUUUCCUCUCAGUUUAUCAGACGUUUUUUCAGUGCUGAGUUAACUUUCACAUGUAUGGGCGUAACAGUCCUCCUGUUCAUAUCAGUCUUCCUGAAUGUAUUUCUAUACAGGAUUAUAAUUAAGCGGAAGGAGUCUCCUCCAAAACCAGAGAAUGCUGACUGGCAGGGAAUAUGGAGAGAGAUAGGAAACAUCUUAGAAGCAUGGGGACCCACAAUGUCAUGGGACUUCACUCUUGAGCACCUGUGGGAUCCCCGGAAACUUGGCCAGUAUUUGAGACAGGGGCAGUGUGGCUUAGGUAAAUCUAAGGAGGUACAACUUAUUUGGGGUUUGGCCUAUGCUUACCGUGCCCUAUAUAAUACUGUUUUGGAGAGAGAGAGUUUCCGAGCUGAGGUUCAAGCCAAAGGGGAGAAUUCCCAAGUCAAAUCUGAUCAGUUACAGAAGACACCAGUAACAAUAUCAGUUGCCCCUGUGGAGGGCAAGAAAUGGAAACGAGUGUCCUCGCGUCUAGAACGGAAAAAAGAAGAAGAAGAAGAGGAGGAGGUGGAGGAAGAUCUAGGUGAGGGGCCCUCCUCGGAACCACCAACAUCAAGAAAGGCAAAAGGAAAAACUAAGAGACAUGCAGAAGAGAGUGAUGAAGAGGAAGUUUCUAUUACUACUCGUCGGCCUCUGAAGAUGACUGAAAUCCAAGGCUCAAGAAAGGAAUUUAUACGGCGCCCAGAUGAAACUAUUGUUUCCUGGUUAGUUCGCUGUUGGGACGACGGGGCCAGUAGCUUGUCUCUAGAUGGUAAUGAAGCUCGCCAACUAGGAGCAAUUGCCAGAGAUCCAGCUAUUGACAGAGGAAUUAGCCGAUGUCUGGACGGGGCUGCCUCCCUCUGGGAACGAAUAUUAAUAGCCGUGAAGGAGAGGUACCCCUUCAAAGAUGGCUUGAAGCCUGUGGCGAAAAGGUGGGAGACGGUUGAAAAGGGUAUCCAGUAUUUGAGGGAGAUAGCCGUGGUGGAAAUGUUGUAUGACCCUAACUGUGUUUUUAACGACCCACGCCAAGGCCACGACCCUGAGAAAGUGAGAACGACGCCUGAAAUAUGGCAGAAACUCACAUCAACAGCACCAGCCAGAUACGCCUCUGCACUAUUGUCAGCAUCUGAGAGAUACAAGGACCAACAGAGAAGCCCCUUAGUUUUUGAAUUGAUUCUUACGCUCCAAAGCUAUGAACAACAGCUACCCCCAACUCGCGCCGCCAUCGCCGCCAUCUCACAAAUGACGGAGCAACUGAAUGAAAUGCAAGAGCAAAUGGAGCAAAUGUCUUCACUGAUGAAUCAUGACAAACCUGUAGAAGUAUCAGAAACGCUUGAUGAAGAUCGGAAUAGUCAAAAGAGUCUGAUGAAGGAGCUGGUGAAACUAAUGCGGAUCCAACUAGCUAAAGACGAUGAACCCUCCUUCUCAGGUGCACCAUCAAAAAUCUCAGCUGUCAGAGGCAAACGCUCUCCAGCUCCAGGAAGGAAUCCUACAUUGCGACUUGCCUUGUGGCGUUACUUACGUGACCAUGGAGAAGAUAUGAGGAAGUGGCACGACCA
rnacentral:lncRNA from 1 species